rnacentral:rRNA from 1 species
CAGUCGAACGGACUUAUACUGAAACCUAGUGAUUUAUGAGUUAGUGGCGGACGGGUGAGUAACGCGUGGAUAACCUGCCGUAUACCGGGGGAUAACACUUAGAAAUAGGUGCUAAUACCGCAUAAGCGCACGGCUCCGCAUGGGGCAGUGUGAAAAACUCCGGUGGUAUACGAUGGAUCCGCGUCUGAUUAGCUAGUUGGCGGGGUAACGGCUCACCAAGGCAGCGAUCAGUAGCCGGCCUGAGAGGGUGGACGGCCACAUUGGGACUGAGACACGGCCCAAACUCCUACGGGAGGCAGCAGUGGGGAAUAUUGCACAAUGGGGGAAACCCUGAUGCAGCGACGCCGCGUGAGUGAAGAAGUAUCUCGGUACGUAAAGCUCUAUCAGCAGGGAAGAUAAUGACGGUACCUGACCAAGAAGCCCCGGCUAACUACGUGCCAGCAGCCGCGGUAAUACGUAGGGGGCAAGCGUUAUCCGGAUUUACUGGGUGUAAAGGGAGCGUAGACGGCAGCACAAGUCUGGAGUGAAAUCCCGGGGCUUAACCCCGGAACUGCUUUGGAAACUGUGCGGCUGGAGUGCAGGAGGGGUAAGCGGAAUUCCUAGUGUAGCGGUGAAAUGCGUAGAUAUUAGGAGGAACACCGGUGGCGAAGGCGGCUUACUGGACUGUAACUGACGUUGAGGCUCGAAAGCGUGGGGAGCAAACAGGAUUAGAUACCCUGGUAGUCCACGCCGUAAACGAUGAUUACUAGGUGUCGGGGGACCAAGGUCCUCCGGUGCCGGCGCAAACGCAUUAAGUAAUCCACCUGGGGAGUACGUUCGCA